GGGAGAUGGCUGAGCUGGUCGAAGGCACUCGACUCGAAAUCGAACGUGGUAGUGAUAUCACCGUGGGUUCGAAUCCCACUCUCUCC
rnacentral:tRNA from 1 species